rnacentral:piRNA from 1 species
CGACUGAUUGUUAUAUAACUCGAGUCCAGGGC